GCACAUGCCUGUAAUCCCAGCUACUCAGGAGGCUGAGCAGGAGAAUCGCUUGAACUGGAGAGGUGGAGGUUGCGGUAAGCUGAGAUCGCACCACUGCACUCCAGCAUGGGUAACAAGAGCAAAACUCCAUCUCAAAAAAAAACAAACAAAAAAAAACAAAAGUCACAACCCAAAUAUGAAGCAAACAAACUUUCAGAUGAUGAUGGUACAGUGUGUUUAUAACACUAACAACUCACUUUUCUCCCCACACAUAGCAAUCGUAAAAAUAAAAACAGCCAGGCACAGUGGCUCAUGCCUAUAAUCCCAGCGCUUUGGGACACAGAGUUGGGCAGAUCACCUGAUGUCAGGAAAUCGAGGCCAGCCUGGCCAAUAUGGCAAAACCCCGUCUCUACUAAAAAUACAAAAAAAAAAAAAAAAAUAGCUAGGUGUGGCGGUGAGUGCCUGUAAUCCCAAGUACCUGAGAUGCUGAGGCAGGAGAGUUACUUGAACCCAGGAGGUGGAGGUUGCAGUGAGCUGAGAUCGCAGCAUUGCACUCCAGCCUGGGUGACAAGAGUGAAACUCCAUCUCAAAAAAAUAAAUUAAUAAAAAAUAAAACAAAACAAAACAAAAACAAAGGCUUGGGCACAGUGGCUCAUGCCCAUAAUCCUAGCAUUUUGGGAGGCUGAGACAGGAUUGCUUGAGUCCAGGAGUUCAAGACCAGCCUGGACAAAAUAGCAAGACACUAUCUGUACAAAAAAUUAAACAAUUAGCUGGGCAUGGUGGCAUGUGCCUGUAGUCUCAGCUACUUGGGAGGCUGAGGUGGAAGGAUCACUUGAGCCCAGGAGAUUGAGUCUGCAGUGGGCUAUGAUUAUGCCACUACACUCCAGCCUGGGAGACAGAAUAAGACUCUGUCAAAAAAUAAUAAUAAUAAUAACAAAAAAGGAAAAGAAAAAGAAAACUAAAAGAUAUAGUCAGGCUCAAAUACCAGAUAAAGAUAUCCAAAAUCCAGAGAGCAAUAGAAACUGUGAACAGCGAAAAGGACUGAAACUGGGUAGCUGGUAGUUUGGCUUUUGUAGGGCAAAAGGGAUUGAAAAUGCUUCAUAGGAGAUGGGAGACUGGAGCCAGGCACAAGCUCAAAGACCUGAACAGUGGUGGGGCACCCUCAAUGUUAUGAAGAGAGAAUGAAAAUGAGCUGCUCCUAACUGCUGCUUGGGACCGUAGGUUCUAGUGAGCUGUAGGCCUAAGGUUUACAAGGCCAUAGCCUUGCAACCAAGAGAUAAGUCAAACACCCAAUGUUUAUGACUAGAUCUGCCCUGCUCUUAAUAUCUUCUUUGAUUCACUGCUAGUAGACUGUGUUCUGAUUUAGAGACCCGGACUGUGGAAUAGAAGCAAUAAAAAAACUGAUGGGCAAGGGAAGGUAAGGAGAGGGGUUGAGAAAGACAGAAAAAGAGGCUGGGCAGAGUAAGAUUCUGUCAGGAAAGAAAGAAAGAGAGAGCAACCCAAAUAUGAAGCAAACAAACUUUCAGAUGAUGAUGGUACAGUGUGUUUAUAACA
rnacentral:lncRNA from 1 species